GCCUGCUUGAUGUGGAAGCUAAAGGAGAGGACACACUGCUGCAAUGGAUCCUUUGUGGCAGUGUCCAUAAGCUUCUUGUGACCUGCCAGGGAGCAAGGUAAGCCGGAUGGGGCCUGGGAUUCGAACCUUUCAUUAGCCGCUUUAACGGUCAACUAUAAGCACAUAUAAUCACUCAUCUUCUAACCAAUGCAACAAGAUGCAGAAUACUUUCAAAUUGAAGCUUAAUAACAAGGUAAGAAUGCAGAGAACUUAGAAAUUUAAGGGAGCAAAUAGGAAAAAGCCCAACCAGCUGGCCCAGGCCAAUAUGUUUAUAAUUUGAAAUUGGACUAUUUUGAAUUUUUUACAUGUUCAUCAACAUGGACAAGAAUGUUAUAAAAUAUCUUUUUAGAGUUAAAU